CGUGGAUAUGGGCAAACUAAUACGUGGAAAGACAGAAGACGAGCAGUAUAUCGCAGAACAAAGUCUGACAGGAUGGAUACCAUCCACCUUCGAGACUUGAUCAAGACAGCAUCGUGAUGGCAAAAGACACAAACAGUCAUGGUCCUUUAACAUGUGGCUCCUCGGCACAGUGUCAGAUACCCUGCCAAGUCCUGGUGCAGAGUCUCUCGGGACAAGAUACAACCUCCCCACCACAUGCUGUGCUUCCUGCCACCUCCACCCAGCUCCUACCCACAGCUGUCCUCAAACCUCCAUGGAGGCUACAGUCUGCACAUCCAUCCCUCUUCUCCAAACCGUGAGGCUCAUCUUCUGCCCUGGCCCGCAUUUUCUGGACGCGGUUUGGUAAUGGGGGUUCCGAAAUGGGUGCAAAAUAAAACGAAGAGAAGCGCGAGAAGGGUCUGCGCGGCGUGCGCACGUGCGAGCCGUCUCGUUCCUCGUGAGGGUCCCGAUGUCACUGAGCACCACCCGGGACACCUGCUACCCCACUGCCAGACAGGAGAGUGCCUGCUUCCUGGCAAAUAUACUAUAAACCCCCAAGGACUGAAAGGAACGCUUUCUGAAAUCCGCAUUCCGAUCCAGUUCUCCACGAUCUGAGGAGCGCAGGCCGCCUCUGCCUCAACCACUCCGACCGCUACACGUCAACAUGGAAUCACGACUGACUGACGCCACCAGUGUCCAAGAGCCACGCGGCCACUUCAUGUGAUGAUGAAAACUAAACGAGGUUUCCGGGGAUUCCAGCAGGCGUUCUGAGGUUUUCCUAGUAAAAUCUAACCUAGCAGGUGAUAUACUUUAAUCCUCUCCCUAUGCUUGCUAAGAUUUCCUCACUUUGGAGUCAUUUUCAGUUUCCACAGUGAAGAUUUCAGGGUUUAUUUUGUCCAGUUCCACGUGGGACAGAACUGAAAUGCCCCACAUUCUGAUCAUCUCCUAUGAGCCUUCAUCCACUGGCCCCGAUUUAAAUACACUGGGGACCCAGUUUCUAACUGAGCUGAUUCUGGAUCAGAACCUCAUCCGCGUAGGAUGAAACCCCACCAACUCCGUUCACCUUCACAGCAGCAAAACCAUCCACUAACACGUACAGAGAAUUUAAAGGCUUAAUAUUAAAACCAAAGGAAGUAAACCCUGCAAACCACAAAGAACAGUGUAGAAUUUUCCAUCCAUCCACCCCCCGAAAAUGCCAGUAAGGACCUGAUGAUUGUAUUACAGGCACAAUGGCUGGAACGCUCAGACUUCUUUCCGCUGAGCGCAAGCAACAGUGUGCAGAAGAAGCACUCUCCUGGGCUAGAUGCACAGGUGCACGUACAACUCUUUACGGCCUCCUUAAGAGACUUCUGGGGAUGGUGCGGGCCACGCACGUGGUAUUCUUACGUGCUGUCUCUCAAUCCUGACCUCCAUGAGAUGUCCUUUACUGAAUCGGUGUGGAAAGGCCCACCAUC